CCUACGGGAGGCAGCAGUGGGGAAUAUUGCACAAUGGGGGGAACCCUGAUGCAGCGACGCCGCGUGAGUGAAGAAGUAUUUCGGUAUGUAAAGCUCUAUCAGCAGGGAAGAGAGUGACGAUGCCUGAGUAAGAAGCAGCGGCUAACUACGUGCCAGCAGCCGCGGUAAUACGUAGGGGGCAAGCGUUAUCCGGAUUUACUGGGUGUAAAGGGAGCGUAGACGGCGAAGAAAGUCUGAAGUGAAAGGCCGCGGCCCAACCGCUGAACUGCUCUGGAAACUUUUUUGCUGGAGUACCGGAGAGGUAAGUGGAAUUCCUAGUGUAGCGGUGAAAUGCGUAGAUAUUAGGAGGAACACCAGUGGCGAAGGCGGCUUACCGGACUGUAACUGACGUUGAGGCUCGAAAGCGUGGGGAGCAAACAGGAUUAGAUACCCCUGUAGUC
rnacentral:rRNA from 1 species